rnacentral:rRNA from 1 species
UACGGGGGGGGCAAGCGUUGUUCGGAAUUACUGGGCGUAAAGGGCUCGUAGGUGGCCAACUAAGUCGGACGUGAAAUCCCUCAGCUUAACUGGGGAACUGCGUCCGAUACUGGAUGGCUCGAGUUUGGGAGAGGGAUGCGGAAUUCCAGGUGUAGCGGUGAAAUGCGUAGAUAUCUGGAGGAACACCGGUGGCGAAGGCGGCAUCCUGGACCAAUAUUGACGCUGAGGAGCGAAAGCCAGGGGAGCAAACGGG